GUCUAUUAGAAAUUGUUUAUAGUCUAGCCUGCUCACUGACAUAAAGUGUUAAAUAGCCGCGGUAUCUUGACCGUGCAAAGGUAGCAUAAUCAUUAGUUUCUUAAUUGGGAACUUGUAUGAAUGGUUGGACAAAGAAAAAUCUGUCUCUUGCACUGAAAUUGAAUUUAACUUCUAAGUGAAAAGGCUUAGAUUAUCCAGAGGGACGAUAAGACCCUAUAAAGCUUUAUAAAUUUAUUAAUUUCGUUUAUUUUUUAUUAUAAUAAUGAUGAUAAGAGAAUUUAUUUGGUUGGGGCAACCGAAGUAUAAUUUUAAAUAACUGCUAUAAUUUAAUACAAUGAUUUUUGUCUUAUACAAUAAUUGAUCCUCAAAGAGAUUAAAGACCAAGUUACUUUAGGGAUAACAGCGUAAUUUAUCCUGAGAGUUCUUAUCAAAGGAAAAGUUUGCGACCUCGAUGUUGAAUUAAAAUGUCUACCUAGUGCAGCAGCUAGGAAAGAAGGUCUGUUCGACCUUUAAUUUUUUACAUGAUUUGAGUUCAGACCGGCGUGAGCCAGGUUGG
rnacentral:rRNA from 1 species